UACGUAGGGGGCAAGCGUUGUCCGGAAUCAUUGGGCGUAAAGCGCGCGUAGGCGGCCCUGUAAGUCCGUUGUGAAAGUCAAAGGCUCAACCUUUGAAAGCCGAUGGAUACUGCAGGGCUAGAGUCCGGAAGAGGCGAGUGGAAUUCCUGGUGUAGCGGUGGAAUGCGCAGAUAUCAGGAGGAACACCAAUAGCGAAGGCAGCUCGCUGGGACGGUACUGACGCUAAGGCGCGAAAGCCAGGGGAGCAAACGGG
rnacentral:rRNA from 1 species